rfam:Myotis davidii contig154122, whole genome shotgun sequence.
GGUAGUUCUCGGGUGACACACCCCGGAAUCAGGCUCCCUCCUCUCUGGUUCCAGGUGCAUCACCCAAGAGCCACA